GAUGAACGCUGGCGGAGUGCCUAACACAUGCAAGUCGAGCGGCAGCGCGAGUAGUUUACUACUUGGCGGCGAGCGGCGGACGGCUGAGUAACGCGUGGGAACAUGCCCCCAAGUGAGGAAUAACUGCCCGAAAGGGUAGCUAAUGCCGCAUAUGAUCUUCGGAUUAAAGGAUUUAUCCGCUUUGGGAGUGGCCUGCGUACGAUUAGAUAGUUGGUGAGGUAAAGGCUCACCAAGUCGACGAUCGUUAACUGGUUUGAGAGGAUGAUCAGUCAGACUGGAACUGAGACACGGUCCAGACUCCUACGGGAAGCAGCAGUGAGGAAUCUUCCACAAUGGGCGAAAGCCUGAUGGAGCAACUCCGCGUGCAGGAUGAAGGCCUUCGGGUUGUAAACUGCUUUUAUGAGUGAAGAAUAUGACGGUAACUCAUGAAUAAGGGUCGGCUAACUACGUG
rnacentral:rRNA from 1 species